UUGGGAAUAUUGGACAAUGGAGGAAACUCUGAUCCAGUGACACCGCGUGAAGGAAGAAGGUCUUCGGAUUGUAAACUUAUUUUAUCAGGGAAGAAAAAAAUGACUGUACCUGAAGAAAAAGGACCGGCAAACUAUGUGCCAGCAGCCGCGGUAAUACAUAGGGUCCAAGCGUUAUCCGGAUUUACUGGGUGUAAAGGGCGAGUAGACGGCAUGGUAAGUUAGAUGUGAAAACUUAGAGCUCAACUUUAAGACUGCAUCUAAAACUAUCAAGCUAGAGUACAGGAGAGGUAAGUGGAAUUCCUAGUGUAGCGGUGAAAUGCGUAGAUAUUAGGAGGAACACCAGUGGCGAAGGCGACUUACUGGACUGUAACUGACGUUGAGGAGCGAAAGUGUGGGGAGCAAACA
rnacentral:rRNA from 1 species